rnacentral:rRNA from 1 species
GGGUUCUGAGAGGAAGGUCCCCCACAUUGGAACUGAGACACGGUCCAAACUCCUACGGGAGGCAGCAGUGAGGAAUAUUGGUCAAUGGACGAGAGUCUGAACCAGCCAAGUAGCGUGCAGGAAGACGGCCCUAUGGGUUGUAAACUGCUUUUAUAAGGGAAUAAAGUGAGAGUCGUGACUCUUUUUGCAUGUACCUUAUGAAUAAGGACCGGCUAAUUCCGUGCCAGCAGCCGCGGUAAUACGGAAGGUCCGGGCGUUAUCCGGAUUUAUUGGGUUUAAAGGGAGCGUAGGCCGGAGAUUAAGCGUGUUGUGAAAUGUAGACGCUCAACGUCUGCACUGCAGCGCGAACUGGUUUCCUUGAGUACGCACAAAGUGGGCGGAAUUCGUGGUGUAGCGGUGAAAUGCUUAGAUAUCACGAAGAACUCCGAUUGCGAAGGCAGCUCACUGGAGCGCAACUGACGCUGAAGCUCGAAAGUGCGGGUAUCGAACAGGAUUAGAUACCCUGGUAGUCCGCACGGUAAACGAUGGAUGCCCGCUGUUGGUCUGAAUAGGUCAGCGGCCAAGCGAAAGCAUUAAGCAUCCCACCUGGGGAGUACGCCGGCAACGGUGAAACUCAAAGGAAUUGACGGGGGCCCGCACAAGCGGAGGAACAUGUGGUUUAAUUCGAUGAUACGCGAGGAACCUUACCCGGGCUUGAAUUGCAGAGGAAGGAUUUGGAGACAAUGACGCCCUUCGGGGCCUCUGUGAAGGUGCUGCAUGGUUGUCGUCAGCUCGUGCCGUGAGGUGUCGGCUUAAGUGCCAUAACGAGCGCAACCCCUCUCUUUAGUUGCCAUCAGGUUAAGCUGGGCACUCUGGGGACACUGCCACCGUAAGGUGUGAGGAAGGUGGGGAUGACGUCAAAUCAGCACGGCCCUUACGUCCGGGGCUACACACGUGUUACAAUGGCAGGUACAGAGAGACGGUUGUACGUAAGUACGAUCAAAUCCUUAAAGCCUGUCUCAGUUCGGACUGGGGUCUGCAACCCGACCCCACGAAGCUGGAUUCGCUAGUAAUCGCGCAUCAGCCAUGGCGCGGUGAAUACGUUCCCGGGCCUUGUACACACCGCCCGUCAAGCCAUGAAAGCCGGGGGCGCCUAAAGUCCGUGACCGUAAGGAGCGGCCUAGGGCGAAACUGGUAAUUGGGGCUAAGUCGUAACAAGGUA